AUACUCUAAUUUACAACAAUUCAGUGCAAUGAAGUUGAUACAUUCUGCUUAGAAUGUUGUACUAGCUUUUCCAACAUUUUGUUGUUAUCCACACACGUCCUUUUCUACCUGCAACAUAAUCAAGAAAAACAGGGAUCAGAUGAGAUACAGAGAGAAAGAGAGACUUGAAGAGGGAGAGACUGUAAAGAAGAUGGAGCCCGGCAGCGGUGGUUCUAGGGCGGCGUCGCGGCAGCAACAUCGCCGCGGUGGUGAAGAUAACAGCGAACACAACCCUGAUUCCGGCGAACCUAGGGUUAUUCCAUCAUCAUCGUCAGUCACUACACCAUUCCCACAUACAAUUCCAUCAGACAACCACCAGUCACCACCAUCAUCAUCAUGAGUUACUACGCCGAACCAUAAACGACAGUCGUCGCUCCUUCCCCUCAAGGCCAGUUACCCUUCAAUCCAGAUCUUCUUUAUGAUGGAUGUUAUUUCAAAAUUAGGGCUUUUAUCUAUGUUGUUCUAUUCUUGCAGGUUAUCCACCAAGGGCGUAUCCAUCAUAGCAAGGGUAACCACCUCACUACGGCGCGCAAACUUGCUGGUGAAACCAAUUAACAUUCUCUUUAUGCUGAUCUGAGUUACAGCCAAGUGAUAGUGAUGAAUGCGGGGACCCUUUUUUUCUGUAGAAUCAAGAAGAGAAGUAGAAUAAGAAGGGUUUUCGGAGCUGUGUUUGGUGGUUGAAUUGCCUCUAGGAGCCGAAUUGGUUUGCAAGGUUUUUGUCAGAACCAGACAAUCCGGCGACCACUGACGAAUUUACCGACAGAAACAGAUUCUGGACAAGGCGAGGGUUCCGACGAAGAUCCGAUUCGAGUCGGGUGUCUCAUUGGAAGCAACCUCUUUAUUUCUACGGGGUAGAGGUAAGACUGUCUAUAUCUUACCCUACUCAGGCCCCGACCUUUGUUUUGUUAUUGGUGGGAUUUACUGAGUAUGAUGAUGAUGACGACGACAAUGAUGAGUAGGUUAAAUAGUUGGUUGUUAAUUUUGGUUACCACAUGUAAACAAUAAACAAUUGUACAUAUAAGUUUGUAAACAAAAUCACCAAAAGUUUGACAACAUAUGCUAAAGCCCCCGCCGCAUCGCGGCGGGGCACAUAUCUAGUUCUAAUUCUAAUUUACAACAACUUUGUGCAAUAGUGAGUUGUAACUUUAGCUUUAUUUGUUUUUUUGCAUAGCUUAGGUGUACCUUAGCUUAGGUGUACCUUAUGUUGUUUGAGUUGUAAGCUUCCAAAAGAAGCUUUAUAUUCCAGAAAUAGGGUUUUAAACAUGUACGUCUCACCUCACCACACUCACGCACAUGAGAGAGAGCCAUCCCUCCGCAUCACACCUCUAUCGGCAUCACCACCGCCACCGCUGCCAUAUCUCCGGCAUCAACGAUACUUAGUAGGUGAUGAAGGUUCCGUAGAUGAUUAAAGGCAGUCACGAUAGAGGGUUUUAAGGGAGAGUAGGUCGAUGGCUUAGGAUGGUUAAAUGACUGAUGGUGGUGGAUAUGGUUCAACAGAUCGGCGUUGCUAGGGUUCCGACGAGAUUUUAGCACGAUUCUGGUGACCCGGUUCAGUUUGGAAGCAUAUGAAAAUGGAACAGGCUUGGAAGUGAUUUUUAGGAAUGGGAAUGAUCCUUGGAAGUCUGAAAGGCAUCGAUUUGGGGAACCGGAGACUUUUUUUAUGCUCAGAUAUGAUUUCCGGCGGUUAAGGCGACUUUCCGGCGGGUAAAGGUUGUGGCUGCAGACCACAGUGACUGAUUGGUGGCGGUCCUCGAGUUAAGGGAGCUGCGAGAUGAGACGACUUCUGACCGGUUUGGCUGAGAGAGAAGCAGAUGAAUGACAAUAAAAUGAAAGAAGAAAAGAAGUCAGGGUUGUGCCUCGAACGUUAAAAUAGAGUAAUUAUGUGUUGAGUUCAACAGAUCACACGUCAAAUAAUGUUUCGUACCGACCAAGAGAAGGUGAUUGAAUUUGUACCUCCAGCGGCAUCGGAUUGUCAAAAGAAACAAACUGGUGAACAAAAAUAUCUUUCUGAUUACAUCUGGGAUGGCACUCAUGACAUGUUAUUUUUCUUAUAAUGUAUUUACAUUCUACGCCAUCACAUGUAUUAUAUAAUCAUCUAAUAUUCUCAGGUUCACUCAGCAUUUUUAGGUGCAUAUAAUUCAGUUAGGAGGAGAAUUAUCUUUCUCAUGAAAACAACUAUUGGCCAUCUAUUUUCGCUUCAUAACCCAAUUUGGCCCUUCAACAUAGUUGAGAAAAAAGCUCCUACGUGUCUACCCGACGAGAGUUGAUGGGUGAUAAGGCAACGCAGUGUGUGUGUGUGCUUGGUGCAAAUUUCUCUGCGGGUUUUGUUGCCGGCUGUCACCACAUGUCUACUAGAUGUCUCAAAAACUCAAACACAAGUAGUGGUACUUAAUAGAUGUUUAUAUUGACAUUUUUCUGUCGCAAAAACUCGAAAACGAGUAGCCGUAUAGCUCAUUUAUCUAACCAAAUAGAUGUAACUCAAUGAUAACAAGCUUAAUAUUUAUAUAAA